AUACUGAACUGGCAGGGGAAUCACCUUGAUCACAAAGGAGGUCUUCCCAGGAUGAGCCUCAACCAUUACACUCUGGCUGUGUUUGACCCCUGCAGUUUCCCCACAUGCGGGAAACUCGAGUGUUUAAUUUGUGGUAGUGGGGGACUGUGUGUGUGCUUUCUUUUG
rnacentral:snRNA from 1 species